AGAACGAACGCUGGCGGCAUGCCUAACACAUGCAAGUCGAACGUGAUCCAGGCUUCGGCCUGGUGAAAGUGGCAGACGGGUGAGUAACGCGUGGGAACCUGCCCUGUGGUAGGGAAUAACCGUGGGAAACUGCGGCUAAUACCCUAUGAGUCCUUCGGGAGAAAGAUUUAUCGCCAUAGGAGGGGCCCGCGUCGGAUUAGGUAGUUGGUGGGGUAACGGCCUACCAAGCCUUCGAUCCGUAGCUGGUCUGAGAGGAUGAUCAGCCACACUGGGACUGAGAUACGGCCCAGACUCCUACGGGAGGCAGCAGUGGGGAUAUUGGACAAUUGGGGCAACCCUGAUCCAGCAAUGCCGCGUGGAUGAUGAAGGCCUUCGGGUUGUAAAGUCCUUUCGGCGGGGAAGAUGAUGACGGUACCGCAGAAGAAGCCCCGGCUAACUUCGUGCCAGCAGCCGC
rnacentral:rRNA from 1 species